UUUGUUUUAAGAUUGUAACACAGUGAUGACUGCUGUACCCAUAUUUUGACUAUUUUAUUCCUUAUGUCUGUUUUGUUCACACAUCGUUGUAAAUAUAACGGAAUUUGAUGAGACUGUCGUAAAAGUGAGAGGUUUAGCGCUAUAAAACCAGGUUCAAUCCAUCAUUUUCAACAUUUGAAAAUGCCUGUACCAAGUCAGGAAUAUGAC
rnacentral:lncRNA from 1 species